AGAUUGAACGCUGGCGGCGUGCUUAACACAUGCAAGUCGAGCGGAAAGGCCCUUCGGGGUACUCGAGCGGCGAACGGGUGAGUAACACGUGAGUAAUCUGCCCCUAGCUCUGGGAUAGCUCCGGGAAACCGGGAUUAAUACCGGAUACGACCACUUUAGACAUCUGUUGUGGUGGAAAGAAUUUUGGCUAGGGAUGAGCUCGCGGCCUAUCAGCUUGUUGGUGGGGUAAUGGCCUACCAAGGCGACGACGGGUAGCCGGCCUGAGAGGGCGACCGGCCACACUGGGACUGAGACACGGCCCAGACUCCUACGGGAGGCAGCAGUGGGGAAUAUUGCGCAAUGGGCGAAAGCCUGACGCAGCGACGCCGCGUGGGGAUGAAGGCCUUCGGUUGUAAACCCUUUCAGCAGGGACGAAGCGAAAGUGACGGUACCUGCAGAAGAAGCGCCGGCUAACUACGUGCCAGCAGCCGC
rnacentral:rRNA from 1 species